rnacentral:lncRNA from 1 species
AAUCCUACUUUUCCCAGGAGAAGGCAGCCCUUCACAUGAUGAAGGUCUUUCUGAAGCAUGAGCUUUGGCAUUGGAACAUCUUUCCUGGACAGAACUCGCUUUUGGAGUUGUGCACAUUUGGGAAGUAUUUUUACAAGGAGGUGCUGAGAGCCGCCAUUACAGCAGGUGAGCCUGGGACUUCUGCCCAUGACCUUCAUGAUGAUCCGUGAAGACACGGCUCCCAUCUGACACUGCCCUUGUUUGGAUGGCUAAUCAGAAAGCAUGCACUACUUCUAAAAGGUAAUUGGCUCUGAUGGCUAUAAA